rnacentral:rRNA from 1 species
AUACGGAGGAUCCGAGCGUUAUCCGGAUUUAUUGGGUUUAAAGGGUGCGCAGGCGGGAGAUUAAGUCGGCGGUGAAAUUUUGCAGCUCAACUGUAAAAGUGGCUCCGAAACUGGGUUUCCUGAGUGUAGAUGAUGUAGGCGGAAUUCGGGGUGUAGCGGUGAAAUGCAUAGAUAUCACGAGGAACUCCGAUUGCGCAGGCAGCUUACUAAACUACUACUGACGCUCAGGCACGAAGGCGUGGGGAUCAAACAGGAUUAGAUACCCUGGUAGUCCACGCAGUAAACGAUGAUUACUAGCUGUUUGCGAUACAACGUAAGCGGCUGAGCGAAAGCGUUAAGUAAUCCACCUGGGGAGUACGGUCGCAAGGUUGAAACUCAAAUGAAUUGGCGGGG